AAAAGAAAGUGAAAAUUAUAACAUAGUUUUUCUAAGAGAAUCAAGAAAUGUAUUUUCAUCUCUGCAUUUUGUUUACUUGCAUGCAUAACAGGUAAAGAAGCUUCUUAAUAAAGUAGUGCUCCGUGAAUCUUGCUUUUACCGGAAAUUAACAGACACCUCAAAAGAUGAAGAGAACCAUGAAGAGUCUGAGUCAUUGCAGGAAGAUAUGCUAGGAAACAGAUUAUUACUUCCAACACCAACAGUAAAGCAGGAAUCAAAGGAUGUGGAAGAAAAUGUUGGCCUCAUUGUGUACAAUGGUGCAAUGGUAGAUGUAGGAAGCCUCUUGCAAAAAUUGGAAAAGAGCGAAAAAGUAAGAGCUGAGGUAGAACAGAAGCUGCAGUUACUAGAAGAAAAAACAGAUGAAGAUGAAAAAACCAUAUUAAAUUUGGAGAAUUCCAACAAAAGCCUCUCUGGUGAACUCAGAGAAGUUAAAAAGGACCUUAGUCAGUUACAAGAAAACUUAAAGAUUUCAGAAAACAUGAAUUUACAAUUUGAAAACCAACUGAAUAAGACAAUCAGAAA
rnacentral:sRNA from 1 species